rnacentral:rRNA from 1 species
CCUACGGGAGGCUGCAGUGAGGAAUAUUGGUCAAUGGCCGGAAGGCUGAACCAGCCAAGUCGCGUGAGGGACGACUGCCCUAUGGGUUGUAAACCUCUUUUAUAAGGGCAGAAUACAUGCUACGUGUCGCAUGAUGCCUGUACCUUAUGAAUAAGCAUCGGCUAACUCCGUGCCAGCAGCCGCGGUAAUACGGAGGAUGCGAGCGUUAUCCGGAUUUAUUGGGUUUAAAAGGUGCGUAGGCGGUUUUUUAAGUUAGGGGUUAAACGUCGGGGCUUCACCUUGGUUUGCCAUUAAUACUGUAAGACUCGAGUUCAGACGAGGUAGGCGGAAUAAGGUAAG